CAGGUUUCUUUAGUUUCUAAAAAGAAGAAAUUUUCGAGUAAUGGCUCGUCUGCCUUUAAUAGUACAAAGUGUGAGGCGCAAAAGAAUUGGUCUUGCAUUGACAACAUGGUUGCAAAUGUGUACAAUUAGCCAAUUACAGCUAAUUCUACAGACCCAAGGUGGAAAUGGUUCAAGAAUUGCUUAGGAGCUUUAGAUGGAACCCACAUCAAGAUUAGGGUUUCAACAGUUGAUAAACCUAGAUAUCGAACGCGAAAAGGUGACAUAGCAACAAAUAUGUUAGGUGUUUGUACACCUGAUAUGCAAUUUGUUUAUGUUCUUCCUGGUUGGAAAUGUUCUGUUACUGAUGGACAGGUUCUUCGAGAUGCCAUUAGUAGGAGACAUGGACUAAAAGUUCCUCAUGGUAAAGUGCAAAAUUAGAGGACUUUGAAUUAAUCUUUAAGACCAUUUGGUUUUGGGGAAUUAACCAUGACAAAUAGUUUUUUUUUAUAGGUUGUUAUUAUCUAGCUGAUGCUGGAUACACAAAUUGUGAGGGAUUUCUUGCACCUUUUAGAGGACAAAAAUAUCAUUUGAAUGAGUGGCAUCAAGGUUACCGGCUAAGUACUCCGGAAGAAUUUUUCAAUAUGAAACAUGCUUCAGCAUGUAAUGUUAUUGAAAGAUGCUUUGGGUUAUUAAAACUUAGAUGGGGAAUACUUAGAAGUCUAUCAUUUUAUCCUGUAAGGGUGCAUAAUAGAAUCAUUAUUACAUGUUGUUUGCUCUAUAAUUUUAUUCGAACCUAUAUGAGUAUUGAUCCUAUUGAAGCGGGGUUGGGAGAAGGAUUACCUAGUAAUGUGAUAGAUGACGAUGAGCCGAAUAUCGUAAUUAUUCAUCCAUCGGAUGCAUGGGCUACUUGGAGGAUGGAACUAGCCAACCAAAUGUUCGAUGAAUGGCAAGCAUCUAGAAAUUAGUUAGGUUUAGGGUAAAAAUAGUAAACAUUAAUUUUUUUUAUGUUAUUUCAUGAGUGGUGUUUGAAUUGUUUUUUGUAUUGUACUAGACUUGUUGAAUUAUAAUUUAUUUUCUUUUAAUUCAUCAUGUGUUAUAAUUUUAUAAAGUGUUGACCUUUUGAUUCAUGAUAUUGAACUUAAUUUUAAAUUUUUUUCUUAAGAUAAUUAUGUCAAGUUUUCCAGAAUCAAAUGUUUCUUCCCAAAAUUCUCGAGGCACCAAAAGAAAAUGGGUUCCAGAAGAAGAUGCAGCGUUGGUUUCCUGUAUGGUCGACUUGCACAAUGUUGGAACCUUUAAUGCUGAUACAGGAUUCAAAUCCGGUUAUUUAAAUGAGUUAGAAAAAAUGUUAGAAAAAGUUUUACCCAAUGCAAUGUUGAAGGCUAAACCUAAUAUUGAAUCGAGGAUUAGGAUAUUGAA